rfam:Canis lupus familiaris chromosome 17, whole genome shotgun sequence.
CUGCUUUGUGAAAGUGGGCUUCAACACAUACUGCAAAGCAAAAGAAAAUUCCAAGCUGUUGCAGGACUGCUACAGAGUUCACAACAUAUAUCUGAAAUAGCAAUUUCUGCCAGAAACAGGAAACACUU